GCGAAGAACCGCCCAAUACUCCGUGUAUUUUUCAUUAUCUUGUCCUUUCUAACAAUAUUGCAGAUUUUGCCUGCUUUGUUUAUUUCAUACAAUUUGUUUAUAUGUACGGAGUAAGUGUGAGGUGUGACGCAGGAAGGUAGCCAAGCCGGGCGAUGGUUGACCCGGUGUAAGUGUGUAAUCCGGAGGGUAGGCAAAUCCGCCCUCCACUUGAAGGACCAGGCACGAUGCGU
rnacentral:rRNA from 1 species